UACCAACAUCUACCUGCAGGGAAAUAAUUACCACCAUCCGAAAUGCGGUACAAAUCUAAAAAUCGGGUAAGGAACAGGGACCGCGGGAUGACAAAUUUUAUCCACAGAGAGCUUGAAAUAUGAGUAAGGUGAGAAACUGCGUUAUGCUGUAAUUCAACUUGGAAUUUCGGGUAGCAAAAUCAGAAGGAAUGGAAGUUAAACUAAGCGCAAUAAAGGAAAUGAUAGGGAAAAACAAGGGAAGAGACAAUGAAGGGAGGGAGAGCCUGUAAAGGGGCUAGAGCAACCCUGUCCAACGCGGCGCCCGUGUUAUAUUUUUAUGGCGCCCUACGUAACCACAUAUAAUUGAGCCGAUUUUUAAUAGUAAUUCAAAUUUUGUCUGGAGCCAGAACAGUGCAGUCAGUAGAGCAACUGGCUAAGGGUUGGACAGCUCAGGGGUCUGAAUUCAAGUCCCAGUAAAGGCAAGAUUUUCUGCUCUCCAUAGCAUCAAGACCGGUUCUGGGGCCCUCCCAGCCUCCUUCCCCAGGGGUAAAGCAAUCAGGGCAUGAAGCUGAUCAAUCACCUCCAAAUUGUGCCAAUGUCAAGAAUAUGUGGCACUAUACAUCCACUCCCUCAUAUGUCUUCAAGGUGUACUGCUUAAUUAGUUAAGCACAGGGACAACUUUUCCUUGUGGUGUGCACGUGCAUGCACACAGACAGACAGGACCUAUCCCCCCUAAUGUUGCCUACAGAACAUAGCAUACAUACAUACAUACACAUACACAUACCCUGGUUCAGGGUAAAUCAGGUAGACUUCAGUGCAGAUUGGCAUGUACAAAUCAUAUGUGCUAAUGGUGCAAACUACAGGUAAGCAGGAUUAGAAAAUUUAGCCUGCUCAGUGAAAGAAUUGGAGGAUGAACCUCCAGGCUUAAUCACAGCAAUCACAAGAGCUGACCAGUUUUCUCUGUCCUCAGCCAAAUGAAUCCAGUCCACAUCCUCCCACAAUAUUUCUUUAAGAUCCACUUUAAUAUUACCCUCCCACCUAUGCCUAUAUCUUCCAAGUAGUCUCUCCCUUUCAGGUUUUACAGUCAAAAUAUUGCAUACAGUUUUCUGUCUCCCAGGCAUACUACGUGUCCAGUCAAUCUGAUCCUCCAUAAUCUCAGGAACCUAAUAAUGGGUGCAGAUAGAACUCAUAUAAAGCAUCUCAUUAUAUAGUCCUGUUCUUCAGUAUGAUGUAUGCCUAGCAAAAUGAUAGGAAAAAAAACGUUUGUAAUGUUGUUUCCUGUAAUUAGCUUGAAGAAGUAGGUGUAUUGUCUGCUAUAAUGAAUUCUAAGAAUAAUGUGGUAUAUAAGAUACCUAAGAAUUGAUUAAUUUCAAAAAUAUGUUUUCUCAAAAUAACAGUAUGUAUGUGUAAUGUAAAGAUGGAGAGGGAAUAAUGUCUUUGGACUCCAUGGUUAAUCCCUUUCUCUUAACAAAAUUAAAAAUUCACACAUUCAUUAAUUAUUAUUUAAUGAUUGAAGUUUAUAUACACAUACUAUGUCUAAUGUCAAAUUAAAAGAGUAAUUAAAUUCAAACAUAUUUUUGCAUGAUAUAUAUAUUUCAGUCAAUAAAAUUAUAUAAAAACAAUAAACCUAAGUUACACACUGAUGCGAUUACCAAAACUGUUUGUCAAAAUAUUCUGCCAAACAGUACUUUCAGCACUUCAUAGGAUGAAAGGAACUAGUUGAAGUAGUUCUUAGUAAUGACUGAAAACACUGUAUCACUCUUCAGUUUAUUUACACAGAAUACCCUCAAUGAUUGCAGCAUGCAGUAGCAUAGUUGGUUGAGGCACUGUGCUACAAGCUGGAAAGUUGCGGGUUCAAUUCCCCAUAAGGUCACUGGAUUUUCAACUGACCUGAUCCUUCCAGCUGCGCUAUAUCCCUGGGAUCAACUUAUCCCCUAGAGGAAAUGAGUACCAAGAAUCUUUCUGGAGGUAAAGGGCUGACCUCACUACUAUCUGUGACCUGAUCAUCUAGAAAAUGUGGGAUCCUCAAUGUCUCACAACCCUAUGGGCCUCCAUGGCCUGUUACAGGGAUAGCUUUACCUUUUACCUUGAAUGAUUAACGUAGAUUUGAAUUUUAAUGUCUCCUGGCUUAUUCCUGAAAAUCAUACCCAUGGCUAUCCUGCUUAUAGUAGUUCUGCAGAUAUAUUCUAUGUUUAUUACAAAACACUAACCAUCUGGAACACAAAAGAUUUCACUACUUCACCCUUAAAUUCUCACAGCCUAGGUCAGUAUACAUAUGCCUACCGUGAAUCUGACAAAAUAUAAAAAGGAACCCUAUAUAACAGGUAUAAAAGUAUUUAAUUGUCUCCCU